rnacentral:tRNA from 1 species
UAGGCGCUAGUCUAAACAAGAUAGUUGAUUUCGACUCAACAGAUCUGGCUAAAACACCAGGCACCUAC